rnacentral:rRNA from 1 species
AGAGAGAGUUCAAGAGUACGUGAAACCGUUCAGGGGUAAACGGGAGACGUCCUGAAUUCGAACGGGAGGUUCCCCCCACGUGGGGCGGCCUUCGGGAUUCAGCCGACCUUCGGGCGGGUCUUGACUCCCUGCCAGACGACGCCGGACGACCGCUCGCGACGACGACUCGCGGUGCGGACCCGAUCCCGGCGGCCGCUCGGCUGUGGACGAUGGCUCGAUCACCCGGGCGGCGCACUUCCCCCCCAGUAGAAACGUCGCGACCCGUUGGGCUUCGCCGGCCACAGGGCCCGGGGUGGCAGCCCGCUCCGCGGACCCGACUCGUUCGGGUCCCGGGCGGACCCCCGGUCGACCCGGCCGGCGCCCGACGGUAGAACGGUGGAGGCGGUCCGCAGAACGGAUGCGUCCGGGCCGGCGACCGCGUGGGCGCGCUCGGGGUACGGUGCUCUGCCACCUUCCCCGGCGCGUUUUCCGCNUCGUGUCCGCCGAGCCUCCCUCGGACAGGACCCUGCCUUCCGGUCGCGCGACGCAGCGACCUUCGGACGGUCUCCCGAC